rnacentral:rRNA from 1 species
UACGUAGGGUGCAAGCGUUGUCCGGAAUUAUUGGGCGUAAAGAGCUCGUGGGCGGUCUGUCGCGUCUGCUGUGAAAAUCCAGGGCUCAACCCUGGACCUGCAGUGGGUACGGGCAGACUAGAGUGCGGUAGGGGAGAUCGGAAUUCCUGGUGUAGCGGUGAAAUGCGCAGAUAUCAGGAGGAACACCGGUGGCGAAGGCGGAUCUCUGGGCCGUAACUGACGCUGAGGAGCGAAAGCAUGGGGAGCGAACAGG